rfam:Chaetomium thermophilum var. thermophilum DSM 1495 unplaced genomic scaffold scf7180000011823, whole genome shotgun sequence.
GCAUCAGUGGUUUAGUGGUAAAAUUCAUCGUUGCCAUCGAUGAGCCCCGCGUUCGAUUCGCGGCUGAUGCA